UGUUCACAGACUUUUUGAAACUCAGGGGUGUGAACGACCAGGGUAAAACAGGGGGGUUUCAUGACCCUUUAAAGGGACUUUGAACUAGUCAUCCAGUCCUGCUCACACAGCGCGGAAUUUCUGAGAAUGCGGUGCUCAAGAAGACAUCAUUGUCCAUCAUCUUAUAUCCCUUCCAGCAGAUCACAGAAAUCAAUGCUAUUUAAAUGUGAUCUACCAAACACAUCUGUUAAAACCAAUGGGGAUAUUUGAAGGCCUCGCUCUGUGAUCUGCGAGCAGCUAGCUGGAUUUUCUGAGCAUAUACUACGAGAACAACCAGAAA